rnacentral:rRNA from 1 species
UACAGAGGCCUCGAGCGUUAGGCGGAAUCACUGGGCUUAAAGCGUGUGUAGGCGGACGUCUAAGUACCUUGUGAAAUCCCACGGCUCAACCGUGGAACUGCUCGGUAUACUGGUCGUCUUGAGCCACUUAGGGGCAGUCGGAACAGACGGUGGAGCGGUGAAAUGCGUAGAUAUCGGAAGGAACGCCGGUGGCGAAAGCGACGUGCUGGACCUCUUCUGACGCUGAGGCGCGAAAGCCAGGGGAGCAAACGGG